AACGAACGCUGGCGGCAGGCUUAACACAUGCAAGUCGAACGUGAUCUUCGGAUCUAGUGGCAGACGGGUGAGGAACACGUGGGAACAUCCCUUUCAGUUCGGAAUAACGUUGGGAAACUAACGCUAAUACCGGAUACGUCCUUCGGGAGAAAGAUUUAUCGCUGAAAGAUUGGCCCGCGUCUGACUAGAUAGUUGGUGAGGUAACGGCUCACCAAGGCUACGAUCAGUAGCUGAUCUGAGAGGAUGGUCAGCCACAUUGGGACUGAGACACGGCCCAAACUCCUACGGGAGGCAGCAGUGGGGAAUAUUGGACAAUGGGCGCAAGCCUGAUCCAGCCAUGCCGCGUGAGUGAUGACGGCCUUCGUGUUGUAAAGCUCUUUUGCCCGGGAAGAUAAUGACUGUACCGGAAGAAUAAGCCCCGGCAAACUUCGUGCCAGCCGCCGCAGUAA
rnacentral:rRNA from 1 species